rnacentral:rRNA from 1 species
GACGAACCGUGCGAACGUUAUUCGGAAUCACUGGGCUUAAAGCGCGUGUAGGCGGACGGGCACGUCCGUUGCUGAAAUCCCCCGGCUCAACCGGGGAACGGGCGCGGAUACGACUCUUCUGGAGGGGCGUAGGGGGACCUGGAACUUCCGGUGGAGCGGUGAAAUGCGUAGAUAUCAGGAGGAACACCGGUGGUGUAGACGGCUCACUGGACCGUAACUGACGCUGAAACACGAAAGCGUGGGUAGCAAACAGG